ACACUCACACCUUGCCAUAUAACUUACAUAUAAAACAGAUUAUUAACCAUAAAACUUAAAGAAGUAUAGGAGAUAGAAUCUUUAAAAAUGAGCAAUAGAGAACUAGUAUCGCAAGAGAAAGGCUACAAUAAAAAAUAGAAGAGUUAAACACUCGUCCCUUGUGUAUCAUGGUUUAGCCAUUAUAGAACUUACAUUAAGUAUUCCGAAGCCUGAUGAGCUACUAAUCCCCUGUUAAGAACCCAAUAGUCCUUGUGGCACUAAGGUUAAGAGAGAUUUUAGUAGAGAUGAAAUGUCUUACGCAUCAGAGAAUAGCUGAUUUCUAAAGAAAUGUAUAAAAGUACAGGAAAGAAUAAUCUUAUCCUCCCAUUAAAGGGAUAAUCUUUUAAUGGAAAGAGCUUUAUGGACUUAUAACCCUUCACCAUAGUCUAGGCUUAAAAUCAGCCCUGAACAUGAACCAAGUUACACUGUAAUGAGAAACUAAGGCAUAAUUAUAUAAUCAUAAUCUUAAUCUAUUUAGAAACUCUGACCAACUUACCUCAGAAGAUAUUCUGCUAAAAUAAGUAUAAUGUAUAACUAACUUCUAACUUAUAGUAAAGUACAUCUAUAAAGUAUGAAUAAGGAACUCGGCAAAUAAAAGCUUCGUCUGUUUAUCAAAAACAUAGCUCUUGAAAUUAUGAAAGGUAAGACCUGCCCAGUGGAUCUAACGGCUGCAGU
rnacentral:rRNA from 1 species